rnacentral:rRNA from 1 species
AGGGUUGGGCUGUUCGCCCAUUAAAGUGGUACGCGAGCUGGGUUCAGAACGUCGUGAGACAGUUCGGUCCCUAUCCGUCGCAGGCGUAGGAAAUUUGAGAAGGCCUGUCCUUAGUACGAGAGGACCGGGAUGGACGUACCUCUGGUGUACCAGUUGUUCUGCCAAGGGCAUGGCUGGGUAGCUAUGUACGGAAUGGAUAAGCGCU